GGAUUCCCCUAGUAACUGCGAGUGAAGCGGGAAAAGCUCAAAUUUAAAAUCUGGCAGUCUUUUGGCUGUCCGAGUUGUAAUCUAGAGAAGUGUUAUCCGCGCUGGACCGUGUACAAGUCUCCUGGAAUGGAGCAUCAUAGAGGGUGAGAAUCCCGUCUUUGACAUGGACUGCCAGGGCUUUUGUGAUGCGCUCUCAAAGAGUCGAGUUGUUUGGGAAUGCAGCUCAAAAUGGGUGGUAAAUUCCAUCUAAAGCUAAAUAUUGGCGAGAGACCGAUAGCGAACAAGUACCGUGAGGGAAAGAUGAAAAGAACUUUGGAAAGAGAGUUAAACAGUACGUGAAAUUGCUGAAAGGGAAACGCUUGAAGUCAGUCGCGUCGUCCAGGGAUCAACCUUGCUUUUGCUUGGUGCACUUCCUGGUUUGACGGGUCAGCAUCAAUUUUGACCAUUGGAAAAAGGUUGAGGGAAUGUGGCAUCUUUGGAUGUGUUUAUAGCCCUUGGUCGCAUACAAUGGUUUGGGAUUGAGGAACUCAGCACGCCGCAAGGCCGGGUUUUAAACCACGUACGUGCUUAGGAUGCUGACAUAUAUAAUGGCUUUAAUCGACCCGUCUUGAAACACGGACCAAGGAGUCUAACAUGCCUGCGAGUGUUUGGGUGAAAAACCCGAGCGCGUAAUGAAAGUGAAAAGUUGAGAUCCCUGUCGUGGGGAGCAUCGACGCCCGGACCAGACCUUUUGUGACGGUUCCGCGGUGGAGCAUGUAUGUUGGGACCCGAAAGAUGGUGAACUAUGCCUGAAUAGGGUGAAUCCAGAGGAAACUCUGGUGGAGGCUCGUAGCGAUUCUGACGUGCAAAUCGAUCGUCAAAUUUGGGUAUAGGGGCGAAAGACUAAUCGAACCAUCUAG
rnacentral:rRNA from 1 species